rnacentral:rRNA from 1 species
AUUGAACGCUGGCGGCAUGCCUUACACAUGCAAGUCGAACGGCAGCACAGGGAGCUUGCUCCUGGGUGGCGAGUGGCGAACGGGUGAGUAAUGUAUCGAAACGUGCCCAGUAGUGGGGGAUAACUACUCGAAAGAGUGGCUAAUACCGCAUGAGAUCUCUGGAUGAAAGUGGGGGACCGCAAGGCCUCACGCUACUGGAGCGGUCGAUAUCCGAUUAGGUUGUUGGUGGGGUAAGGGCCUACCAAGCCUGCGAUCUGUAGCUGGUCUGAGAGGACGACCAGCCACACUGGGACUGAGACACGGCCCAGACUCCUACGGGAGGCAGCAGUGGGGAAUUUUGGACAAUGGGCGCAAGCCUGAUCCAGCAAUGCCGCGUGCAGGGUGAAGGCCUUCGGGUUGUAAACUGCUUUUGUACGGAACGAAAAGGCUCUGGCUAAUACCUGGGGCACAUGACGGUACCGUAAGAAUAAGCACCGGCUAACUACGUGCCAGCCGCCGCGGUAA